rnacentral:other from 1 species
GACUCCCUGAGGUGUGCGUGAUAGAUGUGUGAAGUCUUGAGCCAACACCUGACCGAUGGAGGCAGGAUUUGGUUGUGGCUUUGCCCUACAGGGCAGCGAGGCUACCUCCAACAUGCCACCGUAGUUAGUUCGGGUUCAGAGACUUUGAUCUACACGGCACCUUCAGGGAGUCA